GCGCAGCAGGCGAGAAACUUCACAAUGUGCGAAAGCACGAUGAGGGAAUCCCAAGUGCUUGCACGUAAGUGUAAGCUGUUUCUCUGUCUAAAACGCAGAGAGAGUAAGGGCUGGGUAAGACGGGUGCCAGCCGCCGCGGUAAUACCUGCAGCUCGAGUGGUGACCGUUAUUAUUGGGCCUAAAACGUCCGUAGCCGGUUUAAUAAAUGCCUGGGUAAAUCGGACCGCUUAACGGUUCGAAUUCCGGGUAGACUGUUAAACUUGAGACCGGGAGAAGUUAGAGGUACUCCUGGGGUAGAGGUGAAAUUCUGUAAUCCUAGGGGACCACCAGUGGCGAAGGCGUCUAACUAGAACGGGUCUGACGGUGAGGGACGAAGCCCUGGGGCGCAAAC
rnacentral:rRNA from 1 species